rnacentral:rRNA from 1 species
UACGUGAGGGGCGAACGUUGUUCGGUGUCACUGGGCUUAAAGGGUGCGUAGGUGGUUGCGUAAGUAACGUGUGAAAGCCCUCGGCUUACCCGGGGAAUUGCGCGUUAUACUGCGUGACUUGAGGAUUUCAGGGGAAUGGGGAACUCCAGGUGUAGCGGUGAAAUGCGUAGAUAUCGUAAGGAAGACCAGUGGCGAAGGCGGGUCUCUGGACAGUUCCUGACGCUGAGGCACGAAGGUCAGGGGAGCAAACGGG